rnacentral:rRNA from 1 species
UCCGUAGGGUGCAAGCGUUAAUCGGAAUUACUGGGCGUAAAGCGUGCGCAGGCGGUGAUGUAAGACAGUUGUGAAAUCCCCGGGCUCAACCUGGGAACUGCAUCUGUGACUGCAUCGCUGGAGUGCGGCAGAGGGGGAUGGAAUUCCGCGUGUAGCAGUGAAAUGCGUAGAUAUGCGGAGGAACACCGAUGGCGAAGGCAAUCCCCUGGGCCUGCACUGACGCUCAUGCACGAAAGCGUGGGGAGCAAACAGG